AGUCGUAUACGGUACACAAAACACGAUUUGCCACUGCCUGUCGCUGCUGCACAUCCACCUUUCAAUAGUUACCCCAAUGGAGGCUUUCUAUGAACAUCACACUGCGAAGUAAGCACUGAUCAGUGAUCGUCGGCAAAUCAUGACGCUCUCAAAGCUCAACCACAUAUUUUUUCUUUUCUUUUCUUUUCUUUUCUUUUCUGUUCAUCCUCUACUGAAGGUUGAUCACUAUGCUGUUUAAGCUCGACACUUCAAAAUCAGCUGGGCACACACAAAAAACAAAAGGGACGCUUGGGGAGAGAGAGAGAGAGA
rnacentral:sRNA from 1 species